GACGAACGCUGGCGGCGUGCUUAACACAUGCAAGUCGAACGGAAAGGCCCUGCUUUUGUGGGGUGCUUGAGUGGCGAACGGGUGAGUAACACGUGAGUAGCCUGCCCUUAACUUUGGGAUAACUUCAGGAAACUGGGGCUAAUACCGGAUAGGAGCUCCUGCUGCAUGGUGGGGGUUGGAAAGUUUCGGCGGUUGGGGAUGGACUCGCGGCUUAUCAGCUUGUUGGUGGGGUAGUGGCUUACCAAGGCUUUGACGGGUAGCCGGCCUGAGAGGGUGACCGGCCACAUUGGGACUGAGAUACGGCCCAGACUCCUACGGGAGGCAGCAGUGGGGAAUAUUGCACAAUGGGCGGAAGCCUGAUGCAGCAACGCCGCGUGCGGGAUGACGGCCUUCGGGUUGUAAACCGCUUUCGCCUGUGACGAAGCGUGAGUGACGGUAAUGGGUAAAGAAGCACCGGCUAACUACGUG
rnacentral:rRNA from 1 species